UUUCAGACGUGUCACUGCUGGAUGUGAGGAUGGGAGCCACUUUGCUCUGUGAGCUGGGCCUAUUCUUGCUCUGUACGCUCCUCUGCACUGGACACGCUCAAGAUGCUGUGCUAACUAUUGAACCCAACUGGUCCAGUUUUUUCAUUGGAGAGUUUGUUACCUUCAAAUGUGACAUGAAAGAAGGAGACGGUACUGACUGGCAUUACCAAAUCCUUAGGAAUGGUCAGGGAUUUC